rnacentral:tRNA from 1 species
AGCGGGUGUAGUUUAGUGGUAAAACUACAGCCUUCCAAGCUGUUGUCGCGAGUUCGAUUCUCGUCACUCGCUU